rnacentral:rRNA from 1 species
GCGGAAUUCGUGGUGUAGCGGUGAAAUGCUUAGAUAUCACGAAGAACUCCGAUUGCGAAGGCAGCACACUAAGCCGUAACUGACGUUCAUGCUCGAAAGUGUGGGUAUCAAACAGGAUUAGAUACCCUGGUAGUCCACACGGUAAACGAUGGAUACUCGCUGUUGGCGAUAUACGGUCAGCGGCUUAGCGAAAGCGUUAAGUAUCCCACCUGGGGAGUACGCCGGCAACGGUGAAACUCAAAGGAAUUGACGGGGGCCCGCACAAGCGGAGGAACAUGUGGUUUAAUUCGAUGAUACGCGAGGAACCUUACCCGGGCUUAAAUUGCAAAGGAAUAAUCUGGAAACAGGUUAGUCUUCGGACCUUUGUGAAGGUGCUGCAUGGUUGUCGUCAGCUCGUGCCGUGAGGUGUCGGCUUAAGUGCCAUAACGAGCGCAACCCUCGCCGCCAGUUACUAACAGUUAAAGCUGAGGACUCUGGCGGGACUGCCAUCGUAAGAUGUGAGGAAGGUGGGGAUGACGUCAAAUCAGCACGGCCCUUACGUCCGGGGCUACACACGUGUUACAAUGGGCGGUACAGAAGGCAGCUACCUGGCGACAGGAUGCCAAUCCCUAAAGCCGCUCUCAGUUCGGACUGGAGUCUGCAACCCGACUCCACGAAGCUGGAUUCGCUAGUAAUCGCGCAUCAGCCACGGCGCGGUGAAUACGUUCCCGGGCCUUGUACACACCGCCCGUCAAGCCAUGAAAGCCGGGGGUACCUGAAGUGCGUAACCGCAAGGAGCGCCCUAGGGUAAAACUGGUAAUUGGGGCUAAGUCGUAACAAGGUAGCCGUACCGGAAGGUGCGGCUG